GCAAGUCGAACGAAGUAGCAAUACUUAGUGGCAGACGGGUGAGUAACAUGUAGGUAUCUGCCCUUUGGCCUGGAAUAACACGAGGAAACUUGUGCUAAUACCGGAUAAGUCUUUACGGAGAAAGCUUUAUGCACCAUUGGAUGAGCCUGCACUUGAUUAGUUUGUUGGUGGGGUAAUGGCCUACCAAGACUGUGAUCAAUAGCUGAUUUGAGAGGAUGAUCAGCCACAUUGGGACUGAGACACGGCCCAAACUCCUACGGGAGGCAGCAGUGGGGAAUCUUGCACAAUGGAGGAAACUCUGAUGCAGCGAUGCCGCGUGAGUGAAGAAGGCCCUUGGGUUGUAAAGCUCUUUCGUCGGGGAAGAAAAUGACUGUACCCGAAUAAGAAGGUCCGGCUAACUUCGUGCCAGCAGCCGCGGUAAUACGAAGGGACCUAGCGUAGUUCGGAAUUACUGGGCUUAAAGAGUUCGUAGGUGGUUGAAAAAGUUAGUGGUGAAAUCCCAGAGCUUAACUCUGGAACUGCCAUUAAAACUUUUCAGCUAGAGUAUGAUAGAGGAAGGCAGAAUUUCUAGUGUAGAGGUGAAAUUCGUAGAUAUUAGAAAGAAUACCAAUUGCGAAGGCAGCUUUCUGGAUCAUUACUGACACUGAGGAACGAAAGCAUGGGUAGCGAAGAGGAUUAGAUACCCUCGUAGUCCAUGCCGUAAACGAUGUGUGUUAGACGUUGGAAAUUUAUUUUCAGUGUCGCAGCGAAAGCGAUAAACACACCGCCUGGGGAGUACGACCGCAAGGUUAAAACUCAAAUGA
rnacentral:rRNA from 1 species